GACGAACGCUGGCGGCGUGCUUAACACAUGCAAGUCGAACGGAAAGGCCCUGCUUUUGUGGGGUGCUCGAGUGGCGAACGGGUGAGUAACACGUGAGUAACCUGCCCUUGACUUUGGGAUAACUUCAGGAAACUGGGGCUAAUACCGGAUAGGAGCGCCUGCUGCAUGGUGGGGGUUGGAAAGUUUCGGCGGUUGGGGAUGGACUCGCGGCUUAUCAGCUUGUUGGUGGGGUAGUGGCUUACCAAGGCUUUGACGGGUAGCCGGCCUGAGAGGGUGACCGGCCACAUUGGUACUGAGAUACGGCCCAGACUCCUACGGGAGGCAGCAGUGGGGAAUAUUGCACAAUGGGCGGAAGCCUGAUGCAGCAACGCCGCGUGCGGGAUGACGGCCUUCGGGUUGUAAACCGCUUUCGCCUGUGACGAAGCGUGAGUGACGGUAAUGGGUAAAGAAGCACCGGCUAACUACGUG
rnacentral:rRNA from 1 species